UACGUAGGAUGCAAGCGUUGCCCGGAAUUAUUGGGCGUAAAGAGCGCGCAGGCGGUAUGACAAGUCAGAUGUGAAAGAGGCCGGCUUAACCGGCAAGGGUCAUUUGAAACUGUCAGACUAGAGUGCAGCAGAGGAUAGUGGAAUUCCCGGUGUAGUGGUGAAAUGCGUAGAUAUCGGGAGGAACACCAGUGGCGAAGGCGACUAUCUGGGCUGCAACUGACGCUGAGGCGCGAAGGCUAGGGUAGCAAACAGG
rnacentral:rRNA from 1 species